rnacentral:lncRNA from 1 species
CUCUUGGAGAAACAGAAGAUAUUCUACAAAUUCUUCAGCACCAUGAGAUGUCAAACUUGGAUCCUGAUAAAACAGCUUACAUUGAUGAGUGGUGUACUUUUAUCGAGGAAUAUAAAGGGAAUUUUCUGGCCUCAAUAAUGAGUAUUGGAAGUGAAACUCAACAAUCCAACGAAGAACGUGUAGCUAUUGUACUUCAUGGCUGAGUGCGAGAACACAAGCAAGCAGGCAAGAAAGUUACUUCUUGAUUAUUAGCACACUCAUGGACUCAAUAUUAAUCUUAUCAGUCUCAGUUAGACCCUAACUUGUUUCUUUCCAAUUGAUGGUUGUAUCUUUUUCCUAUGUGUGUGCUUCUUAGAAAUGAAAGAGUACUCUUUUGUAUUUCGUACAUGACACAAAUAAUAUCUGGAUCGGCCUGCUGACAUGAACAUAGGUUGGUAAGAUUAUAUAAAUGAUCAAGAUAGAAGAUGAAAGAAAAAUAAAAUAACUAUAUGAUAUAAACCGAACUAAUAAAUUUCUUUAGAUGACAUUUGUUGCCACUAUAUUAAAAUAAAUAAACACAAAUCUUAUAAAAAUAUAGGACAAAUUAUAUUACCACACAAAAAAUUGAAGAUUAUUCUUUGUCAUCAAAUUUGAAUGUUUCAUUGAAAAUGUUGAUUAUAAUUAUCUGAUAGAAAUAAACUAAAUGUUAAGGGGUUAUAAACUAAAAAAUGUGAGGACAAAAUGGGAAACUAAAUGUUUACCACAUAUUCCUACGCUUUAAUAUUGUAGAUAAGGUAAGUAUCAAUGAAUAGUUAGAAAUGCUCCAAAUGAGUUUUGUCCAAGCUCACCCUUCUCAAGCCAAAUGCAUGUCAAUGCAAUGUAGGUUACAGGGCACGAAUAGGCAUUGUUGAUACACAAGUAUUUUGUAGUUUACGAGCUUGAAAUACUUGAUGAAGAUUGCUAGUCAAUAAUCAUGAUCGAGUAGUAUAAUUGAGAUCUAAUAUAAUUAAUCAUGUCAUGAUAUAAUAAUGCUAAUCGUUUGAAAUUUGGAAAUGAAAACAUAGCCAGUCGCCAAUUUUUAUAGCAUUAUUUCAUUUUAGUCACGAAACUUUUUUUGUUCCUAGUUUGUCAUUAAUUCAGUAGAAUUAAAAUUUAGAUUUUAAUCUAUGUCAAACUCAAUAACUAAAUUUAACCACACAUUUUUUGGGAUCCAUGGUUUUUCAACCGCAUAUAUUAUAAAAAUUUUAUCAAAAUUUACUAAAAAUGAUCUUAAUUCCCAUCAAACAGGGGAUAAAUUUUAAUUCUUUAUAUAAGUUAAGUUUUGUCUCCCGACUAAUAGAAAAGCGUCUUCUUGGAUGUUAUUCUUUCUUUUUACAUUUUCCUUUUAUUUUUUUAUUCCUUUAUAAAAUGCCAAUUUUAUUCUAUAGCACAACAUAGAAAUCAAUUGGGUAACUAGAGAUAAGGUAGAAUAUAGGACAAAAAUAAGUGUAAAGAUACCACGCACAUAAUGCUUUAGUGUAAAUUUAUUCACUAAACUCACAAGAAAAUUUAAUUAGAUUACUAAAUUUUAAUUUAUCUCAAUUGAUCAUUGAACGUCAAUUUAGUUUCAACAAAAUUACUAAAAUGCAAUUUUGUUUCAAUUUUCAUGACUUGGUCACGUGUCAUGUCUCUAAAUUGAUGAAAAUUGAUAAUUGGUAGCGUUAUCGCAAUAUAUCUAUCAACUAAUCAUCACAUAGCAUGCUAACUAACCAUAAUGUCACGUCAUAAAGUGUCAAAAAUACACACAUGUACACGACUUUAAAAUUUCUUAAACUAAAAACAUUGUCAUAACGUUUGUUCUACCAUAGCACUAAAUUUUGCUAGCAACAUUUCUUUAAGAACCCAAUAGAUCAUAUACAUAGCAAUACAUGAACAUCUAUGGCUCGAAACAUUAAGAGGAAUUCGAAUAAAGGGGUACUCAACUCUAUGGUCCAUAGAUUUGGAUGGAAUGUACAUAGUGAUAAAAACGGGGUGGGGCGGAGCUAGGAUUUUGGUUCAGUGCGGGCAAAAUUUUUUCGAUACCAGACAUCGAGGUUUUGGUCAUGGAUUUAAUAAUGAUAAAGAAAUAAAACAAUAUUAUGACAAUACUAAAAAACAAAAUGCUAAUUUCAUAUGUUAAAAAAAAUAUUAUUACAAUUUACACAAAUCGAAAUAACAAAAAAUAAGGGAAAAGAUUCAAUUGAAUGAAUGAAAGUGGCGAAGUCUGAAGGGACAAAGUCACAGACUCACAAUUCACAAAGGGUUGAAAUAAAUGAAUAGGUGCGGGUCAAUUGAUUCAAUUGAAUUUUGAGGGGAAUGGAUCUAAAAUGGGUCAUGGGCAUUGGGCUUCUCUCUCUUGGCUGGACAGUGGACAGGGAAGUGACUUAAACAAACAAAAAGAAAUUUACUUGGGCCUGUGGAGCUGGGUCCAAAAGCACUGUACAUAAUUGGGCUCCGUCCCUGGGGCGAAGAUAGAACAACCAUUACCAUUCUUGGCCCAUCAAGGACUUUCAGAAGGUGGGACAGCAAAUAAAAAAUCCUUAGUUACCAUCUCAUUUAAUUAAUAUUUUUUAAUAUUACUUUUUACUUUUUAAAUAUAUUAAUACAAAAAUAAAGUAAAAAGAUUCGACUUUAGUUUGAAAAAUUCAACGGAAGGACCAUGCUCUAUUCCCAUCAAGUUUACUAUUCGUGACGGGGCAAUGCAAAGGUAGGUUGGAGUAGGAAAUUUUGUAAUCCUUAAACGUGUGGGACGCGAAUGACAAUAACUACAGCUUACAAUACUAAAUGAUAUACGAUACGAAGAAACCUUUCAUUUACAGGGUGCCAUGAAGUGAUAUUGUGAAAAUUCUUCGACUAUAUUUCACGCAUUUGACCUCCAAUUGCGUUAAAUUGACUCCUAACAAACUUCAGUUAUCGUUUCGUGGUCCGAAUCAGUUAUUAGAUAUUUGCAAUAUGAUUUCGAACUUUGAAUUUCUUUUUUUAUUGCCCAUUUCGUUCAUUCUUCCAAUUCCACCAAUUUACCUUGAGUUUUACCUAACAAACAAAAUUAACAUCUAAUUAAGUUAUAGUUCAUCAAAAUUUAUUACAAUUAAUCUCAUUUAAUGACCAUAUAUCAGGCACAAGAGAAUGUUGGCCAGAAAUCUCAUUUAAUGAACUGCCAUGUAUAGCAAUUAUAUUAUUGUCUUUGUAAAGGAAUUUAUUGAAAUUUUUUCAUAUCAAAAGAACUAUCAUUAUUGAGUUAGUGGAAACUAUGGGUGUAAAUUUGGCUCGUCAGUUCGAGUAGCAGAUCCAAGCAUAAAGAUAUCGUAAGCUCUUAAAUUGAUUUGUUCAAGAAAAAUUGUACACGAAAUAUUUUUUUUGUACAAUUUUAACUCAACUUAAUUUGAUUGUAGCCAGUCCCAAGCCUCAAAAAAGGAGAAUUGCAACUUUUAUUUGAUUUAUAAUUCGUAUAAAUUGUACAAAAAUUUUUAAAAAUAUUAAAAUUGUCACAAAUUCUUUUAUUUAUUUAUUUUUAUUUUUUUUAUAAAAAAGCCUAGAUUUUUUGCCUGCGUGAAAGCUCAGCUCAGCUCGAACAAAAAAUAUGCCUGAAUCAUUUUUACUUGAGCCGAGCCCAAAUUUCAAAUUUUGGCUCGAUUUGUUGACAUCUCUAGUGAAAACACAUACCAGCCUUUUAUUAAAGUCAAAACUAAAUAAGUAAAAGGACAGAAAGAAGCAGACCAUGUGAAAAGCGCUGUCUAAAUUCAAUGAAAAAAAGCUUUGAGCGUUAUAGCCCCCCUCCAAUAGGAGGCGCCAUGUGUCUUUGAGUCUGGCUCAAAAACAAGGUCAAUAGCAGAAGAUGUCAAUAUCAAGAAAAAAAAAAGGUUGAACCCCAAGCUUGAGGGUCCCACUGCCCUGCCCCUAGAGUUUUGUGAGGGAGGUAAAUGUGGGAUGUGCCCCAGCAGGCCAGGGAACAAGAGCUACCUGUACAUUGCGCCUACAAGGAGUCCAAUUCCAUGUCUUAGGAAUCGAACCCCCACACUGCGGUUGUCAGCAAGGCGUGAAAUGACCUCACUCCUGUCCUUUGCACCACUGGGCUAUGCCUCUAGGGCAGCAGAAGACGCCAAUAUCACAUAGAAAGGAAGUCUUUCAACUUGACAUUUCAAUAAGAUGGCAAUCCAUAGAAUGGAUAGGAGAAACUCUUGGGAGAGAAAUAGAAAAGAAUUUCAGAGACAAGUUCAUGGAUUCAUUUCAAUGCGGUAUGGGAUGUUACAAUCAGAGUGAAUGCAAGGAUGUAUGCGACCAAGAUGUAAUGAAAGUUUUGCGAAACAAAUUGGAUUCCCCAAUGCCAUGGAUUGGCAUGUAUAUUGCAGCAGCUUUUGUAGUCUACUCCCUUUCAAUGGCUGCUGACACUUUCCAUGGUUUUCGUAGUAAAAUGUUGUGGUUCCUAUGUAAGUACUUCUGUUUCAAUGCCAUGUCUUUGACACUAUUAGCUGUCACAUUGAAACUACCAGUCGAUCUUACUGGUUGUAUGGCGGGGGCUCUUGACAUUCUUGCAUGGGUUAGUAGCCUCGUUUUGAUGUCAACUGCAAUGGCAAGUUUUAUGACAUCUUUGGGAUCCAUGGACGGUAAUGAGAUGGUACUAAACCUAGCUGCUUUAGGUAUUAUGAUAAUUACAGUCAUUGGCAAUGUUUAUGUCCACCUUAUCACAGUGUAUUUUGAUGGUGUUCUCCUAAUAGUUUGCAAAGAAAUUAUAGCAAAGGGUUUUAUCUUUAUUUCACUUGUUAUCUUUUUUUCUUCAGCUUUGACCGUUCUAACUACCAGAAGAUACAUAGAAUGCAAGUACCAAGAAAUGCGCAAAAUGGCUUUAGAUGAAGAACAAGUGGAUGGGCAAAAAUUUCACGUUAACAAAUUGAGACUAGUGGUAAAAAAAUAUUGGGUGAUGGCAGUGACAGGAUGCCCUCAGUUUGUAAUGGCACGUAGUGUGACUUGAACUGCUUCAGGUCUGAUGUGCGUAUUAGUAACUCUCACUUUAGUAGAAGCUUAUAUUCGAAUACCAAAAGUAUACCAAGUACAUGGCUCUAGGUUCCCUACUUUAUAUGCCUAUAAGUGGUCAACAAAAUGGAUUAUAUAUGUUCAGUCAAUUGAAGUGGAAUUGGGUACUAUUGUCUCUACAUUCAGAUUGUUUACUGCUGUCGAGUUAAAUUGUUCAGAUAUAGGCAGGAAAAGCUUAAAAAACGAGUUAAAAAUCAAAAAUUAUUGGAAUCAAAGACUUAAGGAUUGGAGAGAAAGCUCUUUACCUUUCAAGUUCGACACCACAAGUGGAAAAAAUUUCUUCAUGCCGAAAGAAGAAUACUUCUGAAUUUCUGUCUUAGAGUACAGUAUAUAUUGGUUUGGACAAGCAAGCUUGUUCUUCUCAUUUCUACCUCGUUCUUCCAACACAUAAAGAAGCUAAAGAUAUUUGUUAUUGGUGCUUCUGAUGAUAGCGAAGGAUCGAAAUCUGGUAGUGAUGCACAGUUGGAUCUUACUCGUUAUGUUCUUCUACUUCAAUGAGAGCCUGGAAUUCCCA